AGGACGAACGCUGGCGGCGUGCUUAACACAUGCAAGUGGAGCGACGAACCGGGCUUCGGCCCGGGGCAAAGCCGCGAACGGGUGAGUAUCACGUGGGUAACCUGCCCCGAUGACCGGGAUAACCCGAGGAAACUCGGGCUAAUACCGGAUGUGCUCGCAGCACAUCAGUGCAGUGAGUAAAGGAAGCUUCGGCCUCCGCAUUGGGAUGGGCCCGCGGCCCAUUAGCUUGUUGGUGAGGUAAAGGCUCACCAAGGCAACGAUGGGUAGCUGGUCUGAGAGGAUGAUCAGCCUCACUGGGACUGAGACACGGCCCAGACUCCUACGGGAGGCAGCAGUGGGGAAUAUUGGACAAUGGGCGCAAGCCUGAUCCAGCCAUGCCGCGUGGUGAUGAAGGCCCUAGGGUUGUAAAGCCCUUUCGGCGGGAAGAUAAUGACGGUACCCGCAGAAGAAGCCCCGGCUAACUACGUGCCAGCAGCCGC
rnacentral:rRNA from 1 species